CCCGCUGCAAAUGUUUGCACCUGUCCUAAGUCGGGAAUCUCAUGUACAGUAGUUGUCGUUUGUUUAUGUAAUUUAUACGUGUUUCUCGUUUCUUGUUUUUUUAUAUAGAUUAGACCGUUGGUUUUCCCGUUUGAAUGGUUUUACACUAGUAAUUUUGGGGCCCUUUAUAGCUUGUUGUUCGGUGUGAGCCAAAGCUCCGUGUUGAAGGCCGUACGUUGACCUAUAAUGGAUUACUUUUAUAAAUUGUUAUUUGGAUGGAGAGUUGUCUCAUUGGCACUCACACCACAUCUUCCUAUAUCUAUAUUCAA
rnacentral:lncRNA from 1 species